UCCGUAGGCGGUUUGGUAAGUCAGUGGUGAAAGCCCAUCGCUCAACGGUGGAACGGCCAUUGAUACUGCCAGACUUGAAUUAUUAGGAAGUAACUAGAAUAUGUAGUGUAGCGGUGAAAUGCUUAGAGAUUACAUGGAAUACCAAUUGCGAAGGCAAGGUACUACCAACAGAUUGACGCUGAUGGACGAAAGCGUGGGGAGCAAACAGGAUUAGAUACCCUCGUA
rnacentral:rRNA from 1 species